GUGAAGGUGUCUCUGGCCAAUCUUACAGUUCCUCCUGGCUGCAGUGGGUUGGAAGCCCUGGGAAGCCGGGCUCCUCACACUGCCAGGCGUGUAGGAGCUGUCUGAACGGCUUGUCAAAACGCAGCUCCUGGGUCAGCAGGCUGGAGGUGGUGUGGGGGAAGCUGGUCUUGGCCCCCCACUUUGAGCAGCUGGCCUCUAGGAGGCGUGGAUUCUGACUCACAGGCACAGUGAGGAAACCUUCAGGGCACUGGUGGAGGAUUCCUGGGGGGAAGGCGCACGCUGUGCAGUGCUCGGCACACAGUUCCACCUGACUUCCUGAAUUUUGGUGACUGAACCUUUGGGUGGCCUGAAAGAGUCCGAGCUCCUUGGAGGCGGCAGUACCCGUGUCAAAGAAGCUGGAGUGGGACACCCUGGGGACCGUGCCCUGCAAGCGCUUUGUGAAGAGGGUGUGAAUGCUGUGCCUCUGCGUUGGUGGCCCGGCGAGCCAGGGAAGG